UCAAUGUUCUGACGAAGGCUUCCGGCCCUGCAGCUCAUUCCUCCGGCAACUCCGUCUUGUUCUCAAUGAGCGAGAUCUCCAGCACAGGCAAGAGGAGCUGAAAGGCAUCCUGAAUAUAAGAAGCACUGUUUGAUGCCUCUAGAAAUACUGCAGUAAUUAACAGAUUAAGGACGUCUGCCUUUUCUUUGGCCUAGAAUAAAGGACAAAGUGGUAAAUACAGCAGAUUAAAAAAACAAUAAACAUGGUAUGAUCCCACUUUGAAACACGUGUGUACACACACAUGCUUACACGGCAUAUACACACACCCAUACAUAAAUGUAAGCACAGAAAGAGUCUGGACUGACAGAGCAAAAUGUCAUCUCUGGAAGUGCUUUAAAUUUCCUUCUAUCUUUCUGUGCUAUCCAAAUUGAGAAAUGUAUACCUUUGCAAUUUUUUAUUGAUUUUAAAAAGUAUUUUCAUUUUGGAAGAGGGAACAGACAUGGGACAUCUGACCAAAAAACUUCAGAAAAAUUUUAAAACAAAAUAUGCAGAUAUGAAGUGUGUGCUCAAAAUACUCAAUGGUUUUUAAGAUGGCUGUUUGAAAACCACCAAAAUAAUGCAAAUUUAUUGCUCGCAUGCGUUAGCGCUUACAGCUGACUAACUGGGUUCAAGUACCCUUAUGAAACACAUGGGAAGAUUUGGCCUCAAAAGAUUAACUUCAGGAAACCAAGAUCUCUUUUAAAGAAAAUAUAAGAGGAAAAGAGAAGCUAUAUCAUUCGGUUAGAUCUGUAAGGUAUAAUCUGAAUUCAAAAGUAAAGGAAUUAAAUUUGGGCCAUUCUCUUAACCGAAAUAAAUUUAAGGACUCAGAAUAACUGCUGCCACGAUGACACUUAUAUGUACUUAUUAUAAAGUAAUUUUUACUUCAAUUGAGGUAAUAACUGACAUGUAAUACUUUAGUGGUAGUUUCAUAUGUACAACAUAAUGAUUUGGUAUCUGCAAAU